CGGCUGAGUUCUAAAUCUAUUAUUUUCAGAUGAACCGUGUUUCAUCAUCUCUAAGGAGAAGCGAUUUCGAACUCUCAUUGACUUAUUCACUAAUAUGUCUGUCAUUUUAAUACCAUUUUGGCUGUCCUAAAUCCAAAAUAUGAUUUGCCCAUGCAGAUAAAUACGACAAGCGAUUCCUUUUCCUUGAGUCUUUGCUGUAAAAAGGCGGUUUUAUUUUUCCAUAUAACUUUUAAGCCUUUUCUAUUGCUCUUUCCAUGUUACUAGUUCUGUAUUUUAUGAUUUUGCAGAAAUUCCAAGGCCUUUAUGAAGUUACUUUCAGAGCCUUGCUAGAUCAAAAGUGGAAGUACCACAUUACAUUCAAAAAGGGUUUUUUCAAUCAAUUUUUCCCUGUUUGAUAAUUUAGAGUAGUCUACAACAAUGGAUUUACCAUAAUCGUUUUGAUAUCUAGAAUCUAAAGACCUGGUUUCUUCAAAUCCCAAUGCAUUUUGGUCGGGGGACGGUAACUCUAAGUAUUUUCUUACAAUCUUGUGUGCUGUCGUUUUCCUCUGGCCAUGGUUUCUGAAUUUUUAUCAGGUGAUGCCUUCAUGUAAAAUUUUGCAGAACAUAGUUUGGGUUCUUCUAACACGUUCGGCAGUUUUUUCGUAAGACUGUAUGGUUCAUCGAAUUGGAGCUUUUGACCUUAUAUUUUUGAUGCAGUACAUUACAAUUUUGCAGAACAUAGUCUGGUCACAGGAAUAAUCUCUUCUCACAGGAUAGUGUCAUGAUUUGCACGCCCAUGGUUUUCGAUUUGCAUCGUUUUAUAUAUAUGAAGGGGGAUUUUAUACCUACUAUUUUUUGACACUUCCUUUUAUUGGCACUUCUGGGAUUUACAAAUCUAAGAUUCAUUUUUUUGCUUCUGAAGAUUAAUAUCUUUGAUUGUCUUGGUUUUCCAACACUCCUAUUAUUUUCCGACCCAUAGGAGCAGCUAUAUGAAUGUUAAGGACAGAACAAGUUCUUCAUAAGGGAGAUUUUGAUUAAUCUGUUCCCUGUUAAAUUCCUUUACGUGAUUUUUUAAUAUUAGCCUGCAGUAGCCUUAAUAAUUUCAAAUGUAGGAUGCAAGGAUCAAUAUUCCUCAGCCCCACACGAGGUGGUUUUGGAAUUGGAAUGUUUUGGCCUGUUGGGUUCUAAAUCUAUUAUUUUCAGAUGAACCGUGUUUCAUCAUCUCUAAGGAGAAGCGAUUUUGAACUCUCAUUGACUUAUUCACUAAUAUGUCUGUCAUUUUAAUACCAUUUUGGCUGUCCUAAAUCCAAAAUAUGAUUUGUCCAUGCAGAUAAACACGACAAGCGAUUCAUUUUCCUUGCGUCUUUGCUAUAAAAAGGCGGUUUUUUUUUUCUUUAUAACUUUUAAGCCUUUUCUAUUGCCCUUUCCAUGUUACUAGUUCUGUAUUUUAUGAUUUUGCAGAAAUUCCAAGGCCUUUAUGAAGUUACUUUCAGAGCCUUGCUAGAUCAAAAGUGGAAGUACCACAUUACAUUCAAAAAGGGUUUUUUCAAUCCAAUUUUUCCCUGUUUGAUAAUUUAGAGUAAUGUCUUUGCGUGUUUCAAAAAGGAUUUACAAAUCUAAGAUUCAUUUUUUCCUUCUGCAGAUUAAUAUCUUUGCGUGUCAUUUCCCAAUAUGCUAGUGGUAAAACCUUGGGUUUUACAAUUGUCUUGGUUUUCCAACACUCCUAUUAUUUUCCGACCCAUAGGAGCAGCUAUUUGAAUUUUAAGGACAGAACAAGUUCUUCAUAAGGGAGAUUUUUAUCAAUAUAUUUCCCUGUUUAAUUCUUUUAGGAUUUUUUAAUAUUAGCCUGCAGUAGCCUUAUUAAUUUCAAAUGUAGGAUGCAAGGAUUCAUUUUCCGGCCCCAAACGAGUUGGCAUUGUCUGCCUAAAAAGGGGUUAUUUUUUUUCAAUAUAAUUUUUACACUUUCUUUUACCCCUUGUAGUUCUGUUUCAGGUCUUACUACAAGUAAAGUAGUUACUUUUCAUCUGGCAUAAUUUAUUCUAUUUAUUUCCCUCUACUUUUUCAAAAUUAGGAAUGUAGGAUGUAGACCCACAAAGACUACUGAGGUAAGUGUAUAUUUUUUGUUUCUAAGAUCUUUGGUUUUUAGAUAUUCCUUCCCUCUAGUUAGUUAGUUCAAAAUAAUUUAAUUAUUUGUUUAAAUUUUAUUAGAUGAUCAUUUCAUUUCUGUGAAUGAAGCUGUGAAAAAUAUUUCAGGAAAUUAUAUGGUGUCUCUGAUUGGUAUGGUGACUGUAUUCAUACUUUUAUCUGUAUUCUUUCUCUGUUGAUAAUCUUUUUUUGCUAUUGAGAAGAUUUAUAGCCAACUUCUAGAAUUGUCAAACUCUAUUUAAAGGGGUAUCGGGUAUCACGCUCUUUCGAAGGAUCAUUUAUUUUGGACUAUUCUCCAUUUAUAUCAAGGGCUCCAUUCAUUCUCAGUGUGAUUGCUUCUCAAUUUUACUGUAUCAGAAAUGUUAUGUUAUAGUUUGGCUCAUUGAAAAGGCUUUCUGUUUGUAAAGUUUGAAUUUCAAGUCGUUUCUUUGAUAGAGGGAAUUAACUUCUAAAGCCGCUGCUUGAUUAGUAUUCAGUUUGUUCUUAUAGGUUUACCUGUUGUUGAUUAGUGGUGAUUCUUCAUUGUUCUUAACUCUACAUCGAUGUCGAUUGUUAAUCAUUUGUUGAUUCUUGAUGUCUUUUAUACCCAUCUAUUGGUUUGUUUGGUCACACUGGAAUUAUGUCAACUGCCUUUUUGGACUGGUCCCAAGGGGUUUUCCCUUCCAUUUUGUUUGGUGGUCUGGGGUUUCCCUCGCAAUGAAAAAAACAGUAAAACAAGUUUUUAAAUCUGCCAUUGCCGGUCCCAAGCCCGGAUUUGAAAAGAUGAGGGGAAAUUUUUAUUCUUUCUAUUCCUUGUGAAUGACAUCUCUUAGGUUUUGAUGCGACAAGACCUCUCUAACAUGGUGUGUUUUCAUUUGGAUCAAGCUCGACAGUGUUAAAUCUGAGAAUAUGUGAUCUCUCUUGGUAUUACUGAUUUA
rnacentral:lncRNA from 1 species